rnacentral:lncRNA from 1 species
GUUCCUUGCCACAAACUUCCAGCAUUGGAAGACUUAGAGAACAGGCUCUCCCUUCUUCCUGGGGGCCUUGGGAAGUUUCUGACGGGAGGAGGGAGGCAGACUCCCCUCUCCGCGGAGGGCGAGGCGCCUCUGGGAGGAGGAGGACCGAGAGAAAGGGUCUCCAACAGCGAACCUUUGUCCCGGAAUGCAGAUGAGCCAGCCGCGCGCAGACAAUGCCCGCCCAGUCCUCGCUGCCCCCAUCCAUCUGCGGCUAUUUUGUUAACCCGAUGUUUCUUACAUUCUUUCUCUCGCGCAGAAUACUUGAUGUUGACAGCUGUGAAUUUUAAACAACCAUUCUGGGUAUGUUUUCCUAAUUUUGUGUAUUCAGAUUGUUUUUCCGUAUUGGGGGUGGGGGCUGGCAGCCAAGUACCUUACAGUUCCUUCAUUGAGAGAUUUCAUGCCUUUCCAAAGUGGUGGAGAUUCCGAUUGCUAAACACAAAGUAGAAAUUAAAUGUGCGCACCC